UACGAAGGGGGCGAGCGUUGUUCGGAAUUACUGGGCGUAAAGGGCGCGUAGGCGGCCGAUCAAGUCAGAUGUGAAAGUCCUGGGCUUAACCUGGGGACUGCAUUUGAUACUGAUUGGCUUGAAUGCAGGAGAGGAUAGCGGAAUUCCCAGUGUAGAGGUGAAAUUCGUAGAUAUUGGGAAGAACACCGGUGGCGAAGGCGGCUAUCUGGACUGUGAUUGACGCUGAGGCGCGAAAGCGUGGGGAGCAAAAGGG
rnacentral:rRNA from 1 species